UGGGGAAUCUUCCGCAAUGGGCGCAAGCCUGACGGAGCAACGCCGCGUGAGUGAAGAAGGCCUUCGGGUCGUAAAGCUCUGUCUUCAGGGAAGAACAACUAUAGUGUAAAUAAUGCUAUAGCCUGACGGUACCUGAGGAGGAAGCUCCGGCUAACUACGAGCCAGCAGCCGAGGUAAUACGGAGGGAGCAAGCGUUGUACGGAAUUACUGGGCGUAAAGGGCGUGUAGGCGGGAAUUUAAGUAAGGUGUGAAAACUCCGGGCUCAACUUGGAGACUGCACUUUAAACUGG
rnacentral:rRNA from 1 species